CUCAUUGACACCUCGACUUGCUCGUAGCUCGAUACCCAUUCAAGACGAUUAUGUCGAGUUAAAUCACGAAAUUCACUCUCGAACUGAACCUAAACCGUCGUCUACUGCAGUAGAGCAUCACAACGUUCCAGUCUACCCGUAUAAUCAGCUCUGGUAUUUGUUCAAUGGGAUUAGCUGGAAAAGUAAUUACGGACACUCCUGUUUCCUCUCGUUCAAAACAACAUUGAUUUGGCGUUCAAUCGGAGCCAAAUACUGGGUGAUUAACAAAAAAUGGUGUCGUUCUUCCGCAGGCAUUGGCUUCGUUCGUUUCCACCAGCUUAUUUUUUGAGAUUUAAUGCGCCUGCAUGGCGCAUUUCAAAAUUAAGCCGAAAAUUGUCCCAAAAAGUCUAUGAGUUAUUAAACAAAAAUGAACCGAUGUAUGUUUCGAACGGUUGGUGUUUUAGCAGGGGUUUCUACGGGAAAGUUUCCCGAAAUAUCAAAUUUUGCAUAAAACUUUGCGUAAUAAAACAUUAAUUUAG